AAGUAGGGCGGGACACGUGAUAUCCUGUUUGAAGAUGGGGGGACCAUCCUCCAAGGCUAAAUACUCCUGAUUGACCGAUAGUGAACCAGUACUGUGAAGGAAAGGCGAAAAGAACCCCGGUGAGGGGAGUGAAAUAGAACCUGAAACCUUGUACGUACAAGCAGUGGGAGCCCUUUAAGGGUGACUGCGUACCUUUUGUAUAAUGGGUCAGCGACUUAUAUUUUGUAGCGAGGUUAACCGAAUAGGGGAGCCGAAGGGAAACCGAGUCUUAACUGGGCGAAUAGUUGCAAGGUAUAGACCCGAAACCCGGUGAUCUAGCCAUGGGCAGGUUGAAGGUUGGGUAACACUAACUGGAGGACCGAACCGACUAAUGUUGAAAAAUUAGCGGAUGACUUGUGGCUGGGGGUGAAAGGCCAAUCAAACCGGGAGAUAGCUGGUUCUCCCCGAAAUCUAUUUAGGUAGAGCCUUGAGCGGACACCUUCGGGGGUAGAGCACUGUUUCGGCUAGGGGGCCAUCCCGGCUUACCAACCCGAUGCAAACUACGAAUACCGAAGAGUGAUACUCAGGAGACACACGGCGGGUGCUAACGUCCGUCGUGGAGAGGGAAACAACCCAGACCGCCAGCUAAGGUCCCAAAGUCUAUAUUAAGUGGGAAACGAAGUGGGAAGGCUUAGACAGCUAGGAUGUUGGCUUAGAAGCAGCCAUCAUUUAAAGAAAGCGUAAUAGCUCACUAGUCGAGUCGGCCUGCGCGGAAGAUGUAACGGGGCUCAAAUAUAGCACCGAAGCUGCGGCAUCAGACGUAAGUCUGUUGGGUAGGGGAGCGUUGUGUAAGCGGAUGAAGGUGGUUCGAGAGGGCUGCUGGACGUAUCACAAGUGCGAAUGCUGACAUAAGUAACGAUAAAACGGGUGAAAAACCCGUUCGCCGGAAGACCAAGGGUUCCUGUCCAACGUUAAUCGGGGCAGGGUGAGUCGGCCCCUAAGGCGAGGCUGAAAAGCGUAGUCGAUGGGAAACGGGUUAAUAUUCCCGUACUUGGAUAAACUGCGAUGUGGGGACGGAGCAGGUUAGGUUAGCGUGCUGUUGGAUAUGCACGUUUAAGUUAGUAGGUGGGAAGUUUAGGCAAAUCCGGACUUCCUUAACACUGAGAGAUGAUGACGAGGCUCUACGGAGCUGAAGUAACUGAUACCACACUUCCAGGAAAAGCCACUAAGCUUCAGGUUUAUCUAAACCGUACUGAAAACCGACACAGGUGGUCAGGUAGAGAAUACUCAGGCGCUUGAGAGAACUCGGGUGAAGGAACUAGGCAAAAUAGCACCGUAACUUCGGGAGAAGGUGCGCCGGCGUAGAUUGUAAGGGUUUACCCCUGAAGGUUGAACCGGUCGAAGAUACCAGCUGGCUGCAACUGUUUAUUAAAAACACAGCACUCUGCAAACACGAAAGUGGACGUAUAGGGUGUGAUGCCUGCCCGGUGCUGGAAGGUUAAUUGAUGGUGUAAUCGAAAGAGAAGCUCCUGAUCGAAGCCCCAGUAAACGGCGGCCGUAACUAUAACGGUCCUAAGGUAGCGAAAUUCCUUGUCGGGUAAGUUCCGACCUGCACGAAUGGCAUAAUGAUGGCCAGGCUGUCUCCACCCGAGACUCAGUGAAAUUGAAAUCGCCGUGAAGAUGCGGUGUACCCGCGGCUAGACGGAAAGACCCCGUGAACCUUUACUAUAGCUUGACACUGAACAUUGAAUUUUGAUGUGUAGGAUAGGUGGGAGACUUUGAAGAUGAUACGCCAGUAUUGUUGGAGUCGUCCUUGAAAUACCACCCUUUAACGUUUGAUGUUCUAACGAAGAUUACGAAACGUGGUCUCGGACAGUGUCUGGUGGGUAGUUUGACUGGGGCGGUCUCCUCCCAAAGAGUAACGGAGGAGCACGAAGGUUUGCUAAUGACGGUCGGACAUCGUCAGGUUAGUGCAAUGGUAUAAGCAAGCUUAACUGCGAGACAGACAAGUCGAGCAGGUACGAAAGUAGGUCAUAGUGAUCCGGUGGUUCUG
rnacentral:rRNA from 1 species